rnacentral:rRNA from 1 species
GACAGAGGGGGCAAGCGUUGUCCGGAGUCACUGGGCGUACAGCGCGCGCAGGCGGUUGGUGACGUGCCGUGUCACAGCCCUGAGCUCACCUCAGGGUGGCCACGGUAGACGCGCCGACUAGAGGCAGGGAGAGGGAUGUGGAAUACCCGGUGGAGCGGUGAAAUGCGUAGAUAUCAGGAGGAACACCGGUGGUGUAAACGGCUUUCUGGACCGUAACUGACGCUGAGGCACGAAAGCGUGGGUAGCAAACAGG